GGGAGGGAAGGAAAGAAGGGCAGAAAGAAAAGGAAGGAAGGAAAGAAAGGAAGGAAAGAAAAGAGAUUUUUUAAGCUAUUUUGUUCCCCCAUUCAUUUGCACUAGAAACACCAGCCAGUGGAACUCCUAUGAAACAAAUUUCUGAAUACUUUGGUUGUCUGGAUUUUCCCAGGUACCAUCUAGACUGCAUCUGCAGGUGGAAUGUGACCACACCUACACAGAAUACUGACUAAUGAUGACGACAUGCAAUGUCAUCUAACAUUCAGAACUUUCAAAAAUGAAGUCAUUCUCAUUCUUUUUUCAAGUAAUUGUGGUAGCUAUUUCCUAUCCAAAUGAGCAACAGAGAAAACACGGAGAGCCCUCCCGCUCACCUGUGCUUAUUUCCUUCAAUUAAGGGUGCAUGAGCGCGCGUGCACACGCACUCACGCAGGCGCACACACUCACAAGUGCACGCGCACAUAUGGUUUUCCCACACAUUUCACCAUAUCACUUUCUCUUUACUUUUUAAAGACAGGGCACUUGCCCUUAUGGCCAACAAUAUUAUGCCCAAGCUACCCCCAGCAUUCCGAGUUAAUCACAAAGGUGACAAACUCCAUUUGAACAAAGACCACCUGGUGAGCACGCAGCUCAAAUGUUGUCACCUAGAAAUUCAGGUUGUGUUUGGAAAGUGGACUUAACAGUGAAAGAAAAAGGCCUGGCGAACUUCAGAGGGGGUCAACCCAGUCCUGCAACGUUGUGUGUCAUUAUGGGGUGCUGUGCUAUCCAUAGAGAAAGAGGAGAUGAAAAAGACUCUACAGAGAGAGAUCAGACUGCAAGGAAGCAUAAAGCUUUCAUCACCAUAAUAUGAAGGCCUCCUUGGUAUAAAUGACUUUUUUUAAGUCCUAAUAAGAAAUACCAUCUAUUUUAUCUGGAAUUAUCUCAUUUUAUUAGCUUCAAAUUUUAUUCUAAGAUUCAUCGUAUCAGAUCAUCUAGGCUGGCCAAAAGGUCUGAAGACACAGAUCAUGUAUUAUUUUAUUACUGUUGUAGCAAUAAGUCAUUUAUGUUCUAUUCCUGUAUGUUUACAGACUUGGCAGUCACACUGUACAAUGAUCACAGAAAAUGCAGUGAGUUUUUCUUCUUAAAUGGUCAGGGAACCCCUAAGGGAGGUAGCGAUAGUUCUUUCCUUACUGUUUGGGUAGAGUUUUUAGACUCUCCCUAUCUACAGAAACAUCACCUGAACACAUGCGGGGGGCGGGGAAGUCUCUGAGACUCCCAUUUCCUAACUUCAGAAUAAAACCUGUCUCAGAGGCAUCCUGCAACAGCAACAUUCUCUGUAUAAAUGGAACAUGUCCACUGCAAAAUCACAGAAUCACACUUCUAGCACCCACAACUAUUGCAUGUACACGAGACGACUUCCUGUUCUCUGAGACCGUUCUCCUCUGCAUAUUUCUACCUCCCCAAACUACAAAAUGAUGCUACGUCUAUAGAUGUAAUCAAUGACCACGCACAGGGAAGUUGUGACCUUGACAUCUGCAGACAACAGCCACCUAGCAGACACGUAACAAACGCAUGGGGUGAGGAGACCAGAACGUACAGACACACUUGUAUAAUAAGACACGUCAAAAAGACCAAUUUGACCAAGAGAGGAAUGAAACAAGAUUCUAGACCCAUGACUCAAAAAUCAACUACAGGUACACCACAAAAAAUAAACAGCUGAACAGAAACAAGUGGAAGAAAAAAGUCCUAAGAAAGUGUAGUUACUCCAGUAUUCAGUAACACUCAAAAAAGGAAAUCUAGGCUGCACAGAUGUCCUGGGUUGCACUAACAGAAAUCGAGUCUCUGUAACAGGAAACACGAGUGUUCUGUUCACCUUUCCAAUAGUCUGACCACGCCAAAGUUGCUGGGUUUUCUUCUGGCUACAACACUUCAAGGGCGUCAAAAACAAACAUUCAAGUAUGGAGAAAGGAAAUGUGGAAGGUCCCGGAGACCAGGUAGAGAAGUGGGGAAGGUCCCAGAGACCAGGCAGAGGAUGGAUGGGAAGGCCCCGGAGAGCAGGUAGAGGAUGGGCAGGGAAAGCCCUGGAUACCAGGUAGAGGAUGGAUGCAGAAGGUCCUGGAGACCAGGUAGAGAGUGGGCAGGGACGGCCAUGGAGACCAGGUAGAGAGUGGACGUGAAGGCCUUGGAGACCAGGUAGAGAAGUGGGGAAGGUCCCGAAGACCAGGCAGAGGAUGGAUGGGAAGGCCUCAGAGAGCAGGUAGAGGAUGGACACAAGAAGGUCCUGGAGACCAGAGAGAGAAUAGACAAAGAAGGUCCCAGAGACCAGGCAGAGGAUAGACAAAGGUGGUCCUGGAGACCAGGCAGAGGAUGGACGUGAAGUUCCUGGAGACCAGCUAGAGAGUGGACAGGGACGGCCAUGGAGACCAGGCAGAGGAUGGACGUGAAGGCCCCACAGACCAGGUAGAAGGAUAGACACAGAAGGCCCCAGAGACCAGGUAGAGAAUGGAUGGGGAAGGUCCCAGAAACCAGGCAGAGGAUGGAUGGGAGGGCCCCGGAAAGCAGGUGGAGGAUGGGCAGGGAAAGCCCUGGAUACCAGGUAGAGGAUGGACACAGAAGGCCCUGGGGACGAGGCAGAGGAUAAACACAGAAGGCCCUGGAGACCAGGCAGAGGAUGGAUGUAAAGCAGGGAUGCUAGGUCCAGGAAAGACAAGAGACAAGCGUCUGAAGGUUUAAAGGACUAUCACAUAGAAGAGCUCUCAGCUUGUUCUGAUGGCUUCAACACAGAGACCCGCAGGCAAGGGAAGUUCACCAAAGCUAGGGGCCCAGGAGGUGCCGAGCCCCUCACCGGAGGCGUCCCAUCUGGAGAUGCUCAGCACUUCUCAGGUGUGCUGACCGAGUAUCUAGACAGGCUGACCUCAGGUACUCUAUACCUGGGAAGCCAGGAUCCUAAUAAUGCACCUACUAACAGGUGUAUUUUAAGACCAAAAAGGUGAAAGCACUUCCCUUAAGAAAUCCAAUUUAGAGUAGACUUAGAAACCACAAAUUUGCUGACUCACGCUAUGUCUCGAUGUGUACAUUAUAAGAAUAAAUAACCCAAGAUGAGCCCAUGUGCUUUAUGACUAGUAUUUUUCACAUAGGAAAGAUAAAUAUUUAACCUCUCUCUUUCCAAAAAAAAAAAAAAAAAA